rnacentral:lncRNA from 1 species
CGGUGGAGAUGGAUAACUUCGAUCUCUCUGGAGCGACGUUCACGAUCCGACUACAACCAUCCAAGGACGCUGCGCCUUAGCGAUCGAUACACCAAUUCCAGCGGUUGAUCACGAUCUUGUUGAUCACAACCAACCAAACCACUAGGGUAAUUUCUGCACGCAAUCGAAGAACAUGCAAGAACAGGUAGAACAGGCACUCAAUUGCCAAAUAAUACAAGAAGGAUCUGAUAUGAAUCACGAUAACAAUAUGGGGUUUUGAAUCAAGUAGAACGGAUGGUCUAGUCGACACAUGCGUCUACAAGGAAGUAGCAAUGGCUAAACUUACAAUAAAACAAAACCCGCCUUGUGUCUCUGGCUGUAGAAGCCUUUACGUACAAGAGAGAGCAACC